AGGGCAUCAUGCUGGGAGAGUGUGACAGAGGAAAUUCCUCACCUCAAGACACCUGGAUGCAAAGAGAGAGGCAGGGGCUGAGGUCCCAGUGUCCCCUUCAAGGACACGCCCCCAAUUACCUAACUUCCUCCCACUAGGUCCCAUCUCCUGAAGGUGCCACCACCUCCCAAUGGCACCACAGGCCAGGGACCAAGCCUCCAACCCAUGGGCCUUGGGGGACACUUCUGAUCCCAAUUAUAGCACAUCAUAUAUCCUCCCUCUCUCCCUCUCUCUCUCUUACUCAAUCUCUCUCCCUCUCUUUCUAUCUCUCUCCUCCCUCCCUACCCUUAGGACUCAUAAUCAAUGAUUCAUUCAAAGAUAAAGAAACAGUACCAUUUGGACACAGAAAGGGGCCCCAGGGUACCUCAUCUUUAAAGGCCACUUAUUAUUUUGCGAUUUUGAAAAUUAAGCUAUGGGAAGAGAGAACAGUUUUCCAAAGCUGCCACUACCAGAUCCAAGAUGUACUCAGCACAUCCCGAGCUAACCAUCCAACCCUUCCUGCACUGACCACAGGCCUGUCCCCACCGGUCACUGUCCUGUAUGGGUCAUUAGACAAGCAAGUGAAGAAGCCCA
rnacentral:lncRNA from 1 species